UUUUGUCGUUUGAUAUUUCCGUCGCCAACUAACCGCAGACGUCGCGACCUGUUCGCGGUCGGUCGCUGAGCCACGUUCGAGCUCGUUGUGUGCGUGUUUCGGCGCGUCACACGGCGAAGGCGUGGAUUUCUGGCUGGCCGUCGGACAGUAUGCUAAACGGUGUCCGGUGUCGUCGUCUGCGCGGCAUCGGUACCGGUCAGCGACGAAUUCUUCGGGCCUCUUUCCGACCCGUCUUGAAACACGGACCAAGGAGUCUAACAUGCGCGCGAGUCGCGGGGUAUCGAGCGUACUUCGGUGCGUUCGUUAUGUUGCGAAACCCGUACAUGUCGAAGGCGUAAUGAAAGUGAAUGGGGAAGAUGGUGGUCCGAGUACACGUUCCGCGAUCGUCGGUAUCGCGGCCGGUCACCCGCAUUCCCAGGGCGUCUCAACGGCCCGUCGUUGAUGCGGACAGUCGUCUUUCGGGGCGGCUGUCGGUCGGCGACGAACCGAGGCGCACCUAUAGCGUGCACGUUGGUACCCGAAAGAUGGUGAACUAUGCCUGGCCAGGAUGAAGUCAGGGGAAACCCUGAUGGAGGUCCGCAGCG
rnacentral:rRNA from 1 species